rnacentral:lncRNA from 1 species
GGGCUCAUAUGUCCACCUUAAGAUUGGAAAGUUAUAGUUCCUUUUAAGGACAAACCCGCGAAGAGGCCAACUUAAGGUGCAAAGGGACUCAUAUGUACACCUUAAGAUUGGGAAGUUAUAGUUCCUUUUAACGACAAACCCACGAAGAGGUCAACUUAAGGUGCAAAGGGACUUAUAUGUCCACCUUAAGAUUGGAAAGUUAUAAAGCUUCAACUCGAAGACGACAUCGACUUGAACACUUGGAAAACUUUGAAGAUUUGGCGGACUUUGCAGACUUCAACUCGAAGAUUCGGAGGGCUUAAACAAUUCAAAUUUAAGACCGACGAAUUUGAACACUGAAACUUGAAGACCGACGAACUUGAAGACUUCAACUUUGAGACUUGGAGGGCCUAAAUAUUUCAACUUGAAGAUCGGCGAAUUUGAAGAUCGGCGAAUUUGAAGACUUCAACUUUGAGACUUGAAGGGCCUAAAUAUUUCAACUUGAAGAUCAGCAAAUUUGAAAACUUCAACUUGAAGACCGACGGACUUGAAGACUUCAACUUUGAGACUUGGAGGGCCUAAAUAUUUCAACUUGAAGAUCAGCAGAUUUGAAGACUUCAACUUGAAGACCAACGAGGUUGAAGAUUUCAAAUUAGGGACUUCAUCUUGAAUACACUUGAAGACUUCAACUUGGAGACUUCGAGGGCUUAAAUAUUUCAGCUUCUCUUUUGCUUUUCAUUGUUCGACUUUUAUCUUAGUCGCAUAAUUUUCAGCUUUACGUGCUUGUAACAAAUGAUUCAUAUCUUGUCGUGGGAGAGUCUAAAUAAUGAAUUGUUUGAUGACUUCAAUAUCUAAAAUAUAUCCAAUACUCAGAAUAAAAAACCUUCAAAAUCGCGCCG